rnacentral:misc_RNA from 1 species
AAAUGUUCAAAUGGCAUCAGGUGAUAUUCCAUUUUGCUUCAUAUCAGCCACUGUAUUUAUUUUCUGGAAUAUAUUUUAGUUUAUAUGGAUAGGAUCCUAAGCUGGUUUCAUUUUCCCUUCAAUUCUAUGUGCAAUUACACAUGGUCAGUUUAUUGUGUUCAUAUACUAACCCUAUCUUUGGCCAAAUUUUGCAUUCAUCACAAAUUUAUAGCUUAGAUUGUUGCUGAAGGGUGUAAUCAAUGUCAAGCAUGAUGGCAGCUUGGAGAUCAUAUUUGAAAGUGUUCACUAUAAAAAAGGGAAAAAAAAUUAUCUUAGUUGCGCUUGGUUUAUUUUUAAAUAAAAUUCAAUUCAACAGUUGACAUACAAUAAAUCAGUGAUGAGUUGCCAAAACUUCUCUUGGAUAAAUGAGAAUCAAACAUCAUGAAGAAUAUAUCAUUUUUAUAUUCAUUUAUAUGUGCUUAUUUUGUGCUCAAUGUCUUUAACAAAAAAAGAAAGUUUGUAUUAGCUUCAUUGUGUAAUAUAUGUUCCUGCUUUAUAGCAAUGUCAAA